AAAUUACAAUACGGGUGCUCGAUAUGUCGGGCUGAGAAGAGAAAAGUAAAUCUCUAACCGUUUACCUGAUCUGGGUAAUGCCAGCGUAGGGAUUAUAGUGUAGCAUUUAUU
rnacentral:ncRNA from 2 species